rnacentral:rRNA from 1 species
GACGAACGCUGGCGGCGUGCUUAACACAUGCAAGUCGAACGGAAAGGCCCUGCUUUUGUGGGGUGCUCGAGUGGCGAACGGGUGAGUAACACGUGAGUAUCCUGCCCUUGACUUUGGGAUAACUUCAGGAAACUGGGGCUAAUACCGGAUAGGAGCUCCUGCUGCAUGGUGGGGGUUGGAAAGUUUCGGCGGUUGGGGAUGGACUCGCGGCUUAUCAGCUUGUUGGUGGGGUAGUGGCUUACCAAGGCUUUGACGGGUAGCCGGCCUGAGAGGGUGACCGGCCACAUUGGGACUGAGAUACGCCCCAGACUCCUACGGGAGGCAGCAGUGGGGAAUAUUGCACAAUGGGCGGAAGCCUGAUGCAGCAACGCCGCGUGCGGGAUGACGGCCUUCGGGUUGUAAACCGCUUUCGCCUGUGACGAAGCGUGAGUGACGGUAAUGGGUAAAGAAGCACCGGCUAACUACGUG